rnacentral:sRNA from 1 species
UGAAUCUUCCAGUAGCUAACGAUGCCGA